rnacentral:rRNA from 1 species
UACGUAGGGGGCAAGCGUUAUCCGGAUUUACUGGGUGUAAAGGGAGCGUAGACGGUCUGAUAAGUCAGAUGUGAAAGCCUGGGGCUCAACCCCGGGACUGCAUUUGAAACUAUCGGACUAGAGUGCAGGAGAGGUAAGUGGAAUUCCUAGUGUAGCGGUGAAAUGCGUAGAUAUUAGGAGGAACACCAGUGGCGAAGGCGGCUUACUGGACUGUAACUGACGAUUGAGGCUCGGAAAGCGUGGGGAGCAAACAGGG